rnacentral:misc_RNA from 1 species
ACAAGUGCGAACGGGCGAGACGGAUGAAGUUUCGUUCGUUUCGUGUGUAUCGAUUUUUUGAGUGAACGUAGUGUUCGUGUCCUUUAGUUUAGUGACGUUUGUUAGAAAAAUAUCUGUGAAUGGGAUUGUGUAACAAGAUAAAACGUUUAUUUGGUGUGUGAUAUUCUGUAAAGGAUGACGAAGGACAGGUUAGCGGCGCUGCAAGCGGCGCAAAGCGACGAUGACGACGUCGGCCCCGACGAUGUCAACGUCGCCGUCGAAGGCGGCUUCAUGGAUGAAUUCUUCAGUGAGGUGGAAGAGAUACGAGAGAUGAUAGACAAGAUUCAGGCCAACGUGGAAGAAGUGAAGAAGAAGCACAGUGCCAUCCUAUCAGCACCGCAGUCAGAUGAAAAAACAAAGCACGAAUUAGAAGAUCUCAUGGCUGAUAUUAAGAAAACUGCCAACAAAGUCAGAGGAAAGUUAAAACACAUAGAGCAGAACAUCGAACAGGAGGAACAUUCGAACAAAUCGUCGGCCGAUCUCAGGAUAAGAAAGACACAGCACUCGACGCUGUCGCGCAAGUUCGUGGAGGUGAUGACGGAGUACAACCGCACGCAGACCGACUACCGGGACCGCUGCAAAAGCAGGAUACAGAGGCAGCUGGAGAUCACGGGCCGCACCACUACUGACGACGAGCUCGAAGAGAUGCUGGAACAACCCAACCCCGCCGUCUUCACUCAGGGGAUAAUAAUGGAGACGCAGCAAGCGAAGCAGACGCUGGCGGACAUCGAGGCGCGGCACGCCGACAUCAUCAAGCUGGAGACCUCCAUCCGGGAGCUGCACGACAUGUUCAUGGACAUGGCGAUGCUUGUCGAGAGCCAGGGAGAGAUGAUCGACCGCAUUGAGUAUCAUGUAGAGCACGCUGUGGACUAUGUCCAAACUGCCACACAAGACACAAAGAAGGCCCUAAAAUAUCAGAGCAAAGCUCGACGGGUAAGUUGUCACCCUCUAAUGUCAGUUCAUUCGUUGCUAAUGCGUUUUUGUUUUGUUUGUCCCGUCCGCCCUCCUCCCGCGCCCCUCCUGUUUCCCGUUUCAUGUUUCGUUUAUGAAUGAUCCGACACGAUCGAGCCCUGCAUUUUGUUUACGUCCAAGUUUCGGUGAUUGGUUCACACCAUGGUUUAUGUUUUAUUUUACUCAUGUUUGCAUUUACACGUGUGCUUUAACCGUUGUGUCAUUAACUGUUCAUGUCGCUCCAACUAACACUCGGUGAUGGGCUUCUUACCCCUGUUUCAUAUCUUAUUCUAUGUAUUAACGAUUUAUAACUUUAUUUGGUGUGUGCGUAAUUUGCCUUCUAUACAUGGGUGGUAUCUGUUAUGUAAUAACUGUACUAUAUGCUUACAAAUGUCUUACUAUUUACAUUAUUGUGUAACAAUCAUUCUAUCGAUCUAACAACUGUGAACUUACGACCUAUAUUAAUUAAGUAUUGUAACACUGGAUGUCAUAUUCGUAGUAACACACAUGUCCGUCUGGACAUCUUAACGUCUCUUAACCUUUAUUUUAAUCUUAGGGUUUAUUUCGUAACUUUUUGGUUUUUACUGACUUCUUGUAUUGGCUCUUAACAAUUUUGGAUUAGCUCAACCUUGGUCAGUUGCUGUAACACAAUAACUCGUAUGAACCAAUCGGCCGUGUCGCGCGGGUUGUCGUCCCGUUCCCUCCCAGCGCCGGGUACCUUAGCGCGAGCAGGGCGAACUGAUAGAUCGCAUCGAGCACCACGUGACGCAGACCACCGACUACGUGGAGACCGGUCGCGGGGAGCUCGUCCAGGCCUACAAAUGGGCCACCAAGGCGCGGAAGAAAAAAAUCUUCAUCAUAAUAUGCCUGUCUGUUACGCU